UACGUAGGUGGCAAGCGUUAUCCGGAAUUACUGGGCGUAAAGCGCACGCAGGCGGUCUUUUAAGUUUGACGUGAAAGCUCCCGGCUUAACUGGGAGAGGUCGUUGAAGACUGGAAGACUUGAGGCAAUGAGGGGGGUGUAGAAUUCCCGGUGUAGUGGUGGAAUGCGUAGAUAUCGGGAGGAACACCAGUGGCGAAGGCGACUACCUGGCCUGUUCUUGACGCUGAGGCGCGAAAGCUAGGGGAGCAAACGGG
rnacentral:rRNA from 1 species